rnacentral:lncRNA from 1 species
GUUCUUGGAAAGUUAUGAGUAGCUGGCAGGACUUGCAGCCCACAUACUCAGGAAAGGCUGUUACAUCAAGUCAACAACAUCUGUAGUCAGCACUGUAGCAUGUUACCAUCACAGAAGAUGAGAGUCUCUUCAUCAUGCAGCAAAGCAUAGAAGGAGGUAGGACAACUGGAUGGAGAGGUCAGGAGACAGCUUUAAAAUACUGUAUUCAGUGUGCCCCCCCCCCCCGCCACCCCCGGUGGCUCAGCGGUUUAGCACCGCCUUCAGCCCAGGAUGUGAUCCUGGAGACCUGGGAUCGAGUCCCACGUCGGGCUCCCUGCAUGGAGCCUGCUUCUCCCUCUGCUUCUCCCUCUGCCUGUCUCUCUCCCUCUCUCUCUGUGUGUCUCUCAUGAAUAAAUAAAUAGAAUCUUUAAAAAAUAAAAUAAAAUAAAAUAUUGUAUUCA